CAGCCGCCGCGGUAAUACGUAGGUGGCAAGCGUUGUCCGGAAUUAUUGGGCGUAAAGCGCGCGCAGGUGGUUUAAUAAGUCUGAUGUGAAAGCCCACGGCUCAACCGUGGAGGGUCAUUGGAAACUGUUAAACUUGAGUGCAGGAGAGAAAAGUGGAAUUCCUAGUGUAGCGGUGAAAUGCGUAGAGAUUAGGAGGAACACCAGUGGCGAAGGCGGCUUUUUGGCCUGUAACUGACACUGAGGCGCGAAAGCGUGGGGAGCAAACAGGAUUAGAGACCCCUGUAGUCCCUGUCUCUUAUAC
rnacentral:rRNA from 1 species